GGGUCAGCUUUAGCUCAGCGGUUACUUCGUCAAGCUUGAAUUAAUCAUUCCAUGAUUCAGUUCAUCCAACCCCUUAGGGUUCGAGGCCCGCGGGCGAUUUCUGACCCUUUU
rnacentral:vault_RNA from 15 species